UCUGAACCCGCCCUGGGCCAUGAGCCCACCCUGGGGCCCUGAGCCUGCCCUGGGCCCUGAACCUGCCCUGGGCCCUGAGCCCACCCUGGGCCCAUGCACAGUGAAGAGGGCGGGAGGCGGGUGCUGGCCGCUGUGCUGUGUGGGAGGCCCCACCUGACAGCAUGGGGCCUCCCCAGGACAGCAGACAGCCUGCCCUGGGCAGUUGGAGCUCCUGCAGACCCUGCAGGGGCCCUGAGAGGGAAGGGCCAGGCCAGAGGGGGGUGAGUGCCCAGGCAGAGCCAGGGGGCACGGGACCCAAGUGGGCCUUUGUUGUCUGAGGGGGAGUGGGCAAGCCAGCGGUGAGUGUGACCCAGGGAAGUGGCCCUGCUGAUGGGAGACUGAAUCCACCUCAGAGGUACAAGCCUUCCGGAUGAUCCUAGAGACAGGAUGUGAGACAAGAGUCCUGGUAAAAGACGGGAGAAAACAGAAGACAGAAAAGGAAGGAGCACCUCUUGGGAGCAGAGAGCCGGGGGAACAAAUCUGCGGUCUGGGCUGAUGAAGAACCAACCUGUGGUCCUGUUCCACCCUGAUGAAAAUGAAGAAAGUGGAAGUGAAGUCCCUCAGUCGUGUCCGACACUUUGCAACCCCAUGGACUGUAGCCUACCACUCUCCUCCGUCCAUGGGCUUCUCCAGGGUCUGGACAGCUUACCUGAUGGCAGCUUCCCCGGGCAGUGGGGAGGCCUGAUAGCUGAGGUGAAGACCUCCCAGAAUGUCCCUGUCACUUCCGCCGGCUGCUUCUCCAUGACCAAGAGCCUUGGCAGCUUAACGUUUAAGGCACUGGAGCUGGUCAUCUGUGGAA
ensembl:lncRNA